GGUUCGGUGACCAGUUUGGUACCGAACCGGCUGAGUCGAAGAACAACUCGGCCAGUUCGGUACCAAACCGGUCAAACCGGCC
rnacentral:pre_miRNA from 1 species